rnacentral:rRNA from 1 species
CCUACGGGAGACAGCAGUAGGGAAUAUUGCUCAAUGGGGGAAACCCUGAUGCAGCGACGCCGCGUGAGUGAAGAAGUAAUUCGUUAUGUAAAGCUCUAUCAGCAGGGAAGAAAAUGACGGUACCUGAGUAAGAAGCCCCGGCUAACUACGUGCCAGCAGCCGCGGGAAUACGGCGGGGGCAAGCGUUAUCCGGAUUUACUGGGUGUAAAGGGAGCGUAGACGGCGGUGCAAGUCUGGAGUGAAAGGCGGGGGCUCAACCCCCGGACUGCUCUGGAAACUGUACGGCUGGAGUGCAGGAGAGGUAAGUGGAAUUCCUAGUGUAGCGGUGAAAUGCGUAGAUAUUAGGAGGAACACCAGUGGCGAAGGCGGCUUACUGGACUGUAACUGACGUUGAGGCUCGAAAGCGUGGGGAGCAAACAGGAUUAGAUACCCCAGUAGUC